rnacentral:rRNA from 1 species
GGGUUGUGAGGUUAAGCGACUAAGCGUACACGGUGGAUGCCCUGGCAGUCAGAGGCGAUGAAGGACGUGCUAAUCUGCGAUAAGCGUCGGUAAGGUGAUAUGAACCGUUAUAACCGGCGAUUUCCGAAUGGGGAAACCCAGUGUGUUUCGACACACUAUCAUUAACUGAAUCCAUAGGUUAAUGAGGCGAACCGGGGGAACUGAAACAUCUAAGUACCCCGAGGAAAAGAAAUCAACCGAGAUUCCCCCAGUAGCGGCGAGCGAACGGGGAGCAGCCCAGAGCCUGAAUCAGUAUGUGUGUUAGUGGAAGCGUCUGGAAAGGCGCGCGAUACAGGGUGACAGCCCCGUACACAAAAAUGCACAUGCUGUGAGCUCGAUGAGUAGGGCGGGACACGUGGUAUCCUGUCUGAAUAUGGGGGGACCAUCCUCCAAGGCUAAAUACUCCUGACUGACCGAUAGUGAACCAGUACCGUGAGGGAAAGGCGAAAAGAACCCCGGCGAGGGGAGUGAAAAAGAACCUGAAACCGUGUACGUACAAGCAGUGGGAGCACGCUUAGGCGUGUGACUGCGUACCUUUUGUAUAAUGGGUCAGCGACUUAUAUUCUGUAGCAAGGUUAACCGAAUAGGGGAGCCGAAGGGAAACCGAGUCUUAACUGGGCGUUAAGUUGCAGGGUAUAGACCCGAAACCCGGUGAUCUAGCCAUGGGCAGGUUGAAGGUUGGGUAACACUAACUGGAGGACCGAACCGACUAAUGUUGAAAAAUUAGCGGAUGACUUGUGGCUGGGGGUGAAAGGCCAAUCAAACCGGGAGAUAGCUGGUUCUCCCCGAAAGCUAUUUAGGUAGCGCCUCGUGAAUUCAUCUCCGGGGGUAGAGCACUGUUUCGGCAAGGGGGUCAUCCCGACUUACCAACCCGAUGCAAACUGCGAAUACCGGAGAAUGUUAUCACGGGAGACACACGGCGGGUGCUAACGUCCGUCGUGAAGAGGGAAACAACCCAGACCGCCAGCUAAGGUCCCAAAGUCAUGGUUAAGUGGGAAACGAUGUGGGAAGGCCCAGACAGCCAGGAUGUUGGCUUAGAAGCAGCCAUCAUUUAAAGAAAGCGUAAUAGCUCACUGGUCGAGUCGGCCUGCGCGGAAGAUGUAACGGGGCUAAACCAUGCACCGAAGCUGCGGCAGCGACGCUGAUGCGUUGUUGGGUAGGGGAGCGUUCUGUAAGCCUGCGAAGGUGUGCUGUGAGGCAUGCUGGAGGUAUCAGAAGUGCGAAUGCUGACAUAAGUAACGAUAAAGCGGGUGAAAAGCCCGCUCGCCGGAAGACCAAGGGUUCCUGUCCAACGUUAAUCGGGGCAGGGUGAGUCGACCCCUAAGGCGAGGCCGAAAGGCGUAGUCGAUGGGAAACAGGUUAAUAUUCCUGUACUUGGUGUUACUGCGAAGGGGGGACGGAGAAGGCUAUGUUGGCCGGGCGACGGUUGUCCCGGUUUAAGCGUGUAGGCUGGUUUUCCAGGCAAAUCCGGAAAAUCAAGGCUGAGGCGUGAUGACGAGGCACU